GAAGGCGAUCAGAUACCGCCCUAGUUCUGACCGUAAACGAUGCCACCUGACGAUCCGCCAGGGUUACUACCAUGACUCGGCGGGCAGUCCCCGGGAAACCCAAGCCUUCGGGUUCCGGGGGAAGUAUGGUUGCAAAGCUGAAACUUAAAGGAAUUGACGGAAGGGCACCACCAGGAGUGGAGCCUGCGGCUUAAUUUGACUCAACACGGGGAACCUCACCCGGCCCGGACACCGCGAGGAUUGACAGAUUGAGAGCUCUUUCUCGAUUCGGUGGGUGGUGGUGCAUGGCCGUUCUUAGUUGGUGGAGCGAUUUGUCUGGUUAAUUCCGAUAACGAACGAGACUCUAGCCGGUUAAGUAGCCCGAGCGGUUUUUGAUCUUUGCCGUCCGUCCUCGUUCCGACCUUCCGCGCUU
rnacentral:rRNA from 1 species